AAUGAUUUUUGUUCGUUUUUCCAAUUUCUCCUAAGACUUCUAAUAACCAAAUUGUGAUGUGAAGCGGAGAUCCUUGCAAUCAAGGAAGUGUUGGAAUAGCUAAGAUACAAUGUCACAACGACGAUUGGCAUAAAUAUUUUCUCAGAUAGCCAUGCAGCCAUUAAAUCCCUGGAAAACGUAAUUCUAAAUUAAAAACCGCCCUCUACUUUCCCAGAUCUCCCAACAAGAUGGUUGAACAAUAGAAUUCUGGGUACCGGCCCACAGAGAUAUCCCAGGGAAUUGUACAAGAGACGAGCCAGAGCGACUAGAACUACUAUAAACUGGAAUCUGUGGGUAUGCCUCAGCGACAUGCAAUCCAAGCAUGCCCUUUCAGAACUGAAAGGGCAACCAAUUACAGAUGGUCACAAAGUAGGGAUUGCGAAAACUCCAAAAAUAUGUGGCCCAAUCUUGAAUCAAUCACUAGAGCAGCCGCUCAACUUUUUAUGCUUACAUCACAGUACUUCUUGGAAGAAUGUAAUGGAACAUAUUUAAAUGCAUUGAUUUUGAAGAACCAUCGAUGAACGCCGAUCGAGCCCAUUUUUACCAUAAAUUCGAUAGUUCUCCCCAACUUAAGGCAUUCAAAAGAGAACCAUUGAGAGCUCAUCAUCUACUCCCAAAAACCAAAUUUAAGUCUUUUACUGAAGGGUUCUCGCUGCUUAGCAACUAUAAGAAGGCACAUCUCACAGUUGGGCUUUUUUAAGUGAGCUGGAUGGUUCAACGGUUGAACGAAAAUCUCUAAGUGAGUCUGAUGACAGACUGCCAUUUAAACCUAACCUUACCUACUCUUGUCAGGAAACCAUUGAAAAAAAUCAAACAAUUGCCCAUUUCCAUAAGUCCAUCACCUCUUCUACACAUUUUAACUGACAAAAAGUAAAAUGUUUAGGAUUUUGCUAUUGCGUUUUUUAUAACCUAUGAAUAAAUGUAAUAAAAUUAAAA